rnacentral:tRNA from 1 species
UUUGCACUGGUUUGUAGCACCAGGAUUGGGGUCGGGCCUCCUUGAUUA